AGCCAGUCAGUUUUGGAGUGACUGCAAAAAGUACAAUGUGACUGUCAUCCAGUACAUUGGAGAACUUUGCCGUUACCUUUGCAGCCAGCCAGUGAAAGCCCUGCAGUACUCUUCAGGGAGUCUUGUAUCAGCAGAUGGGUACAACUGUGAUGGAGCUGACUCAAUCACGAAUACAGCAGUUGCAGCAAUGCAGUCUAACAGAAAAUUUACCUUAGUUGUGAAGAAGUGAAUUACUGCGCUCUCUUUUAAGAAAAUUUGCUUUCUGCGAUCAGUUCUUGAUGACAUCAUACAUCUUCUUGAGGAAUUGAAGAAGGAAGGAGAAGAAAAUCACAAAGUCCGACUAGCAGUUGGAAAUGGAGUAAGAAAUGAUGUAUGGAGAGAAUUUUUAGACAGAUUUGGUGCUGUUAAGAUCUGUGAGUUUUAUGGUGCUACUGAAGGAAACAUUUGUUUCAUGAACCACACAGGAAAAAUUGGAUCUGUUGGACUGUCCUGGUUUCGGCUGAGACAGAGUUAAUUUUCUUCUUAGUAGCUGGUACAGUGCUGUGUUUUGGAUUUAGUGUGAGAAUGAUGUUGAUAACACUCCGAUGUUUUAGUUGUUGCUAAGUAGCGCUUAUCUUCAGCCAAGGACUUUUCAGUUUCCCAUGCUCUGCCAGCAAGCAGGUGAGCAAGAAGCUGGGAGGGAGCAGAGCCGGGGCAGCUGACCUGAACUAGCCAAAGGGGUAUUCCAUACCAUGGAACGUCAUGCCCAGUAUAUAAACAGGGGGGAGUUGGCCGGGCGGCGCGGAUCGUGGCUCGGGAACUAACUGGGCAUCAGUCAGCGGGUGGUGAGCAAUUGCAUUGUGCAUCACUGGUGGGGUUUUUUUUGUUUGGUUGGUUUUUUUUCCCUUCCUCCCCCUCCUUUUUUGUUAUAUU